UACAGAGGGGGCGAGCGUUGUUCGGAAUUACUGGGCGUAAAGGGCGCGUAGGCGGCCCGCUAAGUCGAACGUGAAAUCCCCAGGCUCAACCUGGGAACUGCGUCCGAUACUGGCAGGCUUGAAUCCGGGAGAGGGAUGUGGAAUUCCAGGUGUAGCGGUGAAAUGCGUAGAUAUCUGGAGGAACACCGGUGGCGAAGGCGGCAUCCUGGACCGGUAUUGACGCUGAGGCGCGAAAGCGAGGGGAGCAAACGGG
rnacentral:rRNA from 1 species